rnacentral:rRNA from 1 species
CAGCAGCCACGGUAACACGUAGGUGGCAAGCGUUAUUCGGAAUGAUUGGGCGUAAAGCGUCUGUAGGUGGCUUUUCAAGUCCACCGUCAAAUCCCCGGGCUCAACCCUGGACAAGCAGUGGAAACUACCAAGCUGGAGUACGGUAGGGGUAGAGGGAAUUUCCGGUGGAGCGGUGAAAUGCGUUGAGAUCGGAAAGAACACCAACGACGAAAGCACUCUGCUGGGCCGACACUGACACUGAGAGACGAAAGCUAGGGGAGCAAAUGGGAUUAGAUACCCCUGUAGUCCCUGUCUCUUAUAA